rnacentral:rRNA from 1 species
CAGCAGCCACGGUAAUACGAAGGGUGCAAGCGUUAAUCGGAAUUACUGGGCGUAAAGCGUGCGUAGGCGGUUUGUUAAGUCUGUUGUGAAAUCCCCGGGCUCAACCUGGGAAUGGCAAUGGAUACUGGCAAGAUAGAGUGUGUCAGAGGAUGGUGGAAUUCCCGGUGUAGCGGUGAAAUGCGUAGAGAUCGGGAGGAACAUCAGUGGCGAAGGCGGCCAUCUGGGACAACACUGACGCUGAGGCACGAAAGCGUGGGGAGCAAACAGGAUUAGAUACCCCGGUAGUCCCUGUCUCUUAUAC